rnacentral:lncRNA from 1 species
CCUCAGCCUCCCAAAGUGCUGGGAUUACAGGCGUGAGCCACCGCGCCCAGCCAGCUUUAAUGUUUUUAAAAAGCCCCUUUUAAAUUUCCAGUUAAACUUUCAAAUACUUUGCUUAAUUCUCUAAGAGAAAUGGAUACAUCAGGAAGAUGUACCAUAUUCUGUCCUGGGCUUCCCAUCUCCAGCCCGAGUGGAGAUGCCACCUGCUUUAAGAACCAAAGGUCUAAAGGUACCAAAGGAGGUCUCUGUGGUUGUGUAAUUAAAUCCAAGGACCUGGGCACCAGGAAAGAAAAUGCUGAGCACGGCAUGAGCAAGGGGGUUUUGCAAGGCAAGCUGGAGUCAUUUGGGGUUGCUUUGGGAGGUGAAGGAAGGCACUAGAAGAUCUGAGGAAGAGGUAGCCAAAGUUCUGAAUAUAUAAAAGUUGCAGCACCCCCAUCUCCACUGUGGCUUUGGCUGCCAGCCAGAGCUGCCGUUUUAUUGACAAUUUAUUGGAGUGCUUCUCCCAUUGAGCUUUCAUGAUGGUAUUCAUGUUGCACUCUGCUUGAGUCUCAGAUAAAAGGUCCUUCAUCUACACUCCCCAAGACCAUUAUCACUGCUUAUUAUAAUGCCAUUCAGAUGAAAAGCCCCACAGCACUACAAAGAAGAUCUAGACUUAUAAUAAAAUCAAUACUUUCGUUUCCUUACAAGACAAUUAAAGGGGGAGAAAUAGGCGGGUCUACAGACUGUUACUCCUGAGACUCUCCAGAGGAAGGACGCAAGGCUAGGUGGCAGCUGUCUGUGGGGAGCUUCUGUCUCAUUUCAUCUGGGCUUGGGAUGAAUGGAAAGGCUCGUGCAUCUGAUUGAUGAGCACUAGCUUGUAGAUGACAGCAUAGGCCUUCUGCUUCCUAACUCUUGUCAGCCUGCUCCAAGCACUGGCUUUCCAGCAAGCAGCUAUUUCCUCAGCCCUUUCUUCUUCCCCAGUCAGGCAGGCUUUAACCUAAGCCCAAACUAAAUGCCAGCAGUAUUCUCCAAGCUCUUGAUUCCUAUCUACUGAUUGGCUGGCAUAGCCUCAUGGAGACUGUAGUCAAAGAAGAGUGUUUAGGCUCUAAGUAUGAGAAGAUUCAAGGAUUGUAUUGACAAGAGAGCAAACAUAGAAUUUUUGUACAAUGCAGAGAGAUCAGAGAAAUGGAAAGAGACGGAGACCAGGAGAGACAACAAGAAAAAGAAGAGACAAGGAAAAAAGUUGGGAGGAAUCCUCAGCAUCAUGCAGCAAAUCAGACAAAGUUAGCCCAGCUUCCGAGGGGCUAACCUGGAAAAUGCAAAGCUGAGAAGAAGCCAAGACAAAAUAAGCCAAUAGACUGAGGAGUGGCCCACCGUGCUGAGUGUCCUGCAAGGCGUAAAUGGAGUUGACUCAUAAAAGAUCUAUGGACACAGGACUACAGCUUCUGAGGCCUCUGAAAGAAGUGACAUUGUUCCAAGCUGUCCAGACCGAAGCAUCACCUCUGUGAUCAAGCUUGAGAUUGUUUGUGGCUGAGAAAUAUACUGCCAUCUACACACAGGCAGUGUAAAGUCUAAAAGGAGCGACACUGCCUGUUCCUGAAGGAAUAAGAAGUGGGAAGAGAAGAAAGGAGAAAUGAAGCAGGGAGAGUCAGUCCUGCACUGGCUGCAGGUCAUGGCCAGUCAGCAGCCACACAGAAGAUGUAGGAGAGAACAAGAAACCCCUGUUAUCUUCUGGUUACUCCUAGAUAUUCCUUUUUCUACCUGCUGGUUGCCCUGCAGAAUGUGAAAUGGCACAAGAAUUCAAGAUGGGGACCACAGACAGACUAGCUGACAGCUGCAAAGAUUUCGAGGUGGAAGAGAGCUCACUGAGAGACCGGAAAAAGACUUCAUGGAGUAGGGGAUUUUCCAAAUAUGUUUUGAAUGAUAUUUUUUAUAAAGGGUUGGGGAAUGAGCUUCUCUCAUAGAGAACAAAAUAAACACAAUCAAACAUUUGGAAAAUGGAAAAUAGUCUAGUUGUGUUGGUAUUUAUAAUGGAGACAUUAUCCCCAAGCCCCGGAAAGUUGCAUUGAGUCCAGGUUGUGAAAAGUCUUAAAUACCAGGACCAUGGUCUUGAGGCAAAGGUGAGUGAAAGGUAGGGAUCUGCCCUGGAAGACGACUUUCAAGUAUAAGGAAAAAUAAAUAGCCAGCUUCCUUUUGAAGGAAAGUAGCAGAAAAAAGGUGGAAAGUUCCUUUACACAAAUUAUUAGAAAACUGAAAAUGAAACCUAAGUUCAAAAUUAAUCUUGGUGUUUGAAAACUAACACAGUUUUUAAUACUCCUUGGGUUAAAUAAGAAAUCUAAUUUAAAAAUUUUUAAGUAUUUUGAACUGAAUUAAAAUCAAUACACAACCUAUAAAACAGAUGUUGGCAAUUAAGACUUUCCCUGUGCAUACGUGAAACAGAUAAGCGUUUUGGGAGUGAGAAAAAAACGGC